rnacentral:lncRNA from 1 species
UGGCAGCUCCCAAGACCCGAGGGUAAGAGUCCUGGGUGCCUGGGACCUACCAGGCCAUCCUGCAUCUCCCAUGGGCCUCCCGACCCAGGGACCCCCAUUCUUAUCUGAGAGGACCACCUCUUCCUGAAGCUGGAACCUGAUACUUAUUGUUGCCAACUGAAACCAGGAGAAUCUUGAUGACCUGGAUGAGCUUGAGGCCUCCUCCUCUGUCUCUUCCCAAUCCCCAGAGCUUUGCACACACUGUAUUUAUCAGAGUAUGUAAGUAUCUGUCAUGGCCACUGCCUCCUCCUUUGGACUGCCUGUCUGCCGUGGUUUUUGAGGGACCCCACUGGUGCGUAAAGUAAGUGGUUGGCUGAAUAAAGGAGUGAAAAGCUGAAGGAACCCACUCAUCCAAGCAUUUGGCUUUGUCAGCAUUGUGACUUGGAGGCUGGAGGCAGAGCAAGGAAGACAGUGGGAGAGAGCCUUCCCUUGCAGGACUGUAGUUAGCAAUGAACAUAAAAACAUCCGCUGAAAUUGUAACUUCAGACGUCCACCUCAGAUACUUUGUAACAUAAGUAUAUCCCUAAUAAUGCAUGAACCACACUCAUACUUAA